UCGCACCUACCGAUUGAAUGGUCCGGUGAAGCCUCGGGAUUGUGACCAGUUUCCUUUAUUGGGACCUGACCGUGAGAACUUGUCUAAACCUUAUCAUCUAGAGGAAGGUG
rnacentral:rRNA from 1 species